rnacentral:tmRNA from 1 species
UACGCUUUAGCUGCAUAAUCUGAAUUAACAGUAAGAUUAGCCUCGGCACACAAGGUGUGCAAGCUUUAUGUCCACGAAAAGCCUUGGUUUAUGGCGUUUCAUUUUUGGGCAUCGUAAAAAUAAACAUAGAAAUGUUAGGGCUUUGAUAACAUUUUGAAACUAAAAAAGCUAAGCUUGUAAUGGAUUGUUUUUGAUCAGCUACAAGACAAAAAUUAAACAAAAACUACGUAUGUAGAAAGCAUUUGAGCUGCUUGUUUGGACCCGAGUUCGAUUCUCGGCGUCUCCACUU